rnacentral:sRNA from 12 species
AGCCUAAACUCCUUAAAAGGAGCAUGGCACAAAUCCGGUAAAGGGUAUUAAGCUCCUCGUCGAGCACCUUUACCGGUCAUAUGCCGAAAGGUAUAUGGGUGGUCGCAAGACUAUC